AUUGCCCCAUGGCGCAGCCUGAUGCAGCCAUGCGCGGGUAUGAAGAAGCUCGGGUGUAAAGUACUUUCAGCGGGGAGGAAGGCGGUGGAGUUAUAGCUUCAUCGAUUGACGUUACCCGCAGAAGAAGCACGGCUAACUCCGUGCCAGCAGCCGCGGUAAUACGGAGGGUGCAAGCGUUUAUCGGAAUUACUGGGCGUAAAGCGCACGCAGGCGGUCUGUCAAGUCGGAUGUGAAAUCCCCGGGCUUAACCUGGGAACUGCAUUCGAAACUGGCAGGCUAGAGUCUUGUAGAGGGGGGUAGAAUUCCAGGUGUAGCGGUGAAAUGCGUAGAGAUCUGGAGGAAUACCGGUGGCGAAGGCGGCCCCCUGGACAAAGACUGACGCUCAGGUGCGAAAGCGUGGGGAGCAAACAGGAUUAGAUACCCUGGUAGUCCACGCCGUAAACGAUGUCGACUUGGAGGUUGUGCCCUUGAGGCGUGGCUUCCGGAGCUAACGCGUUAAGUCGACCGCCUGGGGAGUACGGCCGCAAGGUUAAAACUCAAAUGAAUUGACGGGGGCCCGCACAAGCGGUGGAGCAUGUGGUUUAAUUCGAUGCAACGCGAAGAACCUUACCUACUCUUGACAUCCAGAGAAUUCGGUAGAGAUACCUUAGUGCCUUCGGGAACUCUGAGACAGGUGCUGCAUGGCUGUCGUCAGCUCGUGUUGUGAAAUGUUGGGUUAAGUCCCGCAACGAGCGCAACCCUUAUCCUUUGUUGCCAGCGGUCCGGCCGGGAACUCAAAGGAGACUGCCAGUGAUAAACUGGAGGAAGGUGGGGAUGACGUCAAGUCAUCAUGGCCCUUACGAGUAGGGCUACACACGUGCUACAAUGGCGCAUACAAAGAGAAGCGACCUCGCGAGAGCAAGCGGACCUCAUAAAGUGCGUCGUAGUCCGGAUUGGAGUCUGCAACUCGACUCCAUGAAGUCGGAAUCGCUAGUAAUCGUAGAUCAGAAUGCUACGGUGAAUACGUUCCCGGGCCUUGUACACACCGCCCGUCACACCAUGGGAGUGGGUUGCAAAAGAAGUAGGUAGCUUAACCUUCGGGAGGGCGCUUA
rnacentral:rRNA from 1 species